CUUGAUCGAGCCCAGCCACAGCGGACGUCCGUGCGCGCGGUCGCGCCCGUAGGCCGACAGCAGCGCGUUGGCCUC
rnacentral:antisense_RNA from 1 species